rnacentral:rRNA from 1 species
UACGUAGGGAGCAAGCGUUGUCCGGAAUCAUUGGGCGUAAAGCGCGCGUAGGCGGCCCGAUAAGUCCGCUGUGAAAGUCGGGGGCUCAACCCUCGAAUGCCGGUGGAUACUGUCGGGGCUAGAGUGCGGAAGAGGCGAGUGGAAUUCCUGGUGUAGCGGUGAAAUGCGCAGAUAUCAGGAGGAACACCAAUUGCGAAGGCAGCUCGCUGGGACGUAACUGACGCUGAGACGCGAAAGCGUGGGGAGCAAACAGG